UGGGGAGCUCUCCCAUAUGGUCGACCUGCAGGCGGCCGCGAAUUCACUAGUGAUUAGAGUUUGAUCAUGGCUCAGAACGAACGCUGGCGGCAUGCCUAACACAUGCAAGUCGAACGACCCUUCGGGGUUAGUGGCGCACGGGUGCGUAACGCGUGGGAAUCUGCCCUUGGCUUCGGAAUAACAGUUAGAAAUGACUGCUAAUACCGGAUGAUGUCUUCGGACCAAAGAUUUAUCGGCCAGGGAUGAGCCCGCGUAGGAUUAGGUAGUUGGUGGGGUAAAGGCCUACCAAGCCGACGAUCCUUAGCUGGUCUGAGAGGAUGAUCAGCCACACUGGGACUGAGACACGGCCCAGACUCCUACGGGAGGCAGCAGUGGGGAAUAUUGGACAAUGGGCGCAAGCCUGAUCCAGCAAUGCCGCGUGAGUGAUGAAGGCCUUAGGGUCGUAAAGCUCUUUUACCCGGGAUGAUAAUGACAGCACCGGGAGAAUAAGCUCCGGCUAACUCCGUGCCAGCAGCCAAUCGAAUUCCCGCG
rnacentral:rRNA from 1 species